rnacentral:rRNA from 1 species
UCUAGUAUAAGCAUUAUACCGCGAAACUGCGAAUGGCUCAUUAAAUCAGUUAUCGUUUAUUUGAUAGUACCUUAUUACUUGGAUAACCGUGGUAAUUCUAGAGCUAAUACAUGCUGAAAAUCCCGACUCACGGAGGGAUGUAUUUAUUAGAUUAAAAACCGAUGCCCCCCGGGGCUUGCAGGUGAUUCAUAAUAACUUCUCGAAUCGCAUGGCCUUGCGCCGGCGAUGGUUCAUUCAAAUUUCUGCCCUAUCAACUUUCGAUGGCAGGGUCUUGGCCUGCCAUGGUCGCAACGGGUAACGGAGGGUUAGGGCUCGACCCCGGAGAAGGAGCCUGAGAAACGGCUACUACAUCCAAGGAAGGCAGCAGGCGCGCAAAUUACCCAAUCCCGACACGGGGAGGUAGUGACAAUAAAUACUGAUACAGGGCUCUUUUGGGUCUUGUAAUUGGAAUGAGUACAAUUUAAACCCCUUAACGAGGAACAAUUGGAGGGCAAGUCUGGUGCCAGCAGCCGCGGUAAUUCCAGCUCCAAUAGCGUAUAUUAAAGUUGUUGCAGUUAAAAAGCUCGUAGUUGAACCUUGGGCCUGGCUGGCCGGUCCGCCUCACCGCGUGCACUGGUUCGGCCGGGCCUUUCCCUCUGGGGAGCCCUAUGCCCUUCACUGGGUGUAGCGGGGAACCAGGACUUUUACUGUGAAAAAAUUAGAGUGUUCAAAGCAGGCCUAUGCUCGAAUACAUCAGCAUGGAAUAAUAGAAUAGGACGCGUGGUUCUAUUUUGUUGGUUUCUAGGACCGCCGUAAUGAUUAAUAGGGACAGUCGGGGGCAUCAGUAUUCAAUUGUCAGAGGUGAAAUUCUUGGAUUUAUUGAAGACUAACUACUGCGAAAGCAUUUGCCAAGGAUGUUUUCAUUAAUCAGGAACGAAAGUUAGGGGAUCGAAGACGAUCAGAUACCGUCGUAGUCUUAACCAUAAACUAUGCCGACUAGGGAUCGGACGAUGUUAUAUUUUGACUCGUUCGGCACCUUACGAGAAAUCAAAGUCUUUGGGGUUC